rnacentral:rRNA from 1 species
GUGUAUGGCCAUACCACUGAAUUCGCCCAAUCUCAUCUGGUCUUAGAAGCUAAGCAGGGUUGGGCCUGAUUAGUACUUGGAUGGGAGACAGAUCUUCAGAAAAGACUGCUCAGAGACAAACAGU